GUAGGGAAUAUUGGGCAAUGGGGGCAACCCUGACCCAGCAACGCCGCGUGAGGGAAGAAGGUCUUCGGAUUGUAAACCUCUGUCCUUGGGGACGAAGGAAGUGACGGUACCCAAGGAGGAAGCUCCGGCUAACUACGUGCCAGCAGCCGCGGUAAUACGUAGGGAGCAAGCGUUGUCCGGAAUUACUGGGCGUAAAGGGUGCGUAGGCGGCAUAUUAAGUCAUAUGUGAAAACCCCAUGCUUAAGAUGGGAGGUGCAUGUGAAACUGGUAUGCUAGAGUACAGGAGAGGUAAGUGGAAUUCCUAGUGUAGCGGUGAAAUGCGUAGAUAUUAGGAGGAACACCAGUGGCGAAGGCGGCUUACUGGACUGAAACUGACGCUGAGGCACGAAAGCGUGGGGAGCAAACAGGA
rnacentral:rRNA from 1 species